GGGAAUAGCUCAGUUGGCUAGAGCAUCAGCCUUCCAAGCUGAGGGUCGCGGGUUCGAACCCCGUUUCCC
rnacentral:tRNA from 1 species